rnacentral:rRNA from 1 species
ACUCAAAGGAAUUGACGGGGGCCCGCACAAGCGGUGGAGCAUGUGGUUUAAUUCGAUGCAACGCGAAGAACCUUACCAGGUCUUGACAUCUGGCGAAGCCUGUGGAAACACGGGUGUGCCUUUGGGAGCGCCAAGACAGGUGGUGCAUGGUUGUCGUCAGCUCGUGUCGUGAGAUGUUGGGUUAAGUCCCGCAACGAGCGCAACCCUUGCUAUUAGUUGCUAACAGGUAGAGCUGAGCACUCUAAUGGGACUGCCCGUGACAAGCGGGAGGAAGGUGGGGAUGACGUCAAAUCAUCAUGCCCUUUAUGAUCUGGGCUACACACGUGCUACAAUGGAUGGUACAGAGAGCAGCGAAACCGUGAGGUGAAGCGAAUCUCAGAAAGCCAUUCUCAGUUCGGAUUGUAGUCUGCAACUCGACUACAUGAAGUCGGAAUCGCUAGUAAUCGCGAAUCAGAAUGUCGCGGUGAAUGCGUUCCCGGGCCUUGUACACACCGCCCGU